ACGGGAGGCAGCAGUGGGGAAUAUUGCACAAUGGGGGGAACCCUGAUGCAGCGACGCCGCGUGAAGGAAGAAGUAUCUCGGUAUGUAAACUUCUAUCAGCAGGGAAGAUAAUGACGGUACCUGACUAAGAAGCCCCGGCUAACUACGUGCCAGCAGCCGCGGUAAUACGUAGGGGGCAAGCGUUAUCCGGAUUUACUGGGUGUAAAGGGAGCGUAGACGGAAUGGCAAGUCUGAUGUGAAAGGCAGGGGCUCAACUCCUGGACUGCAUUGGAAACUGUCAUUCUUGAGUGCCGGAGGGGUAAGCGGAAUUCCUAGUGUAGCGGCGAAAUGCGUAGAUAUUAGGAGGAACACCAGUGGCGAAGGCGGCUUGCUGGACUGUUACUGACACUGAGGCACGAAAGCGUGGGGAGCAAACAGGAUUAGAUACCCUGGUA
rnacentral:rRNA from 1 species